GACAGAGGGGGCAAGCGUUGUCCGGAUUUACUGGGCGUACAGCGCGCGCAGGCGGAAUGUCAAGUCACCUGUGACAGCGGUCGGCUCAACCGACCAGGGUCAGGUGAGACUGGCAGUCUAGAGGCAGGGAGAGGGUCGUGGAAUUCCCGGUGGAGCGGUGAAAUGCGUAGAGAUCGGGAGGAACACCAGCGGUGCAGACGGCGACCUGGCCCUGACCUGACGCUGAGGCGCGAUAGCGUGGGGAGCAAACGGG
rnacentral:rRNA from 1 species